GAUUUGAAAAUGAACAGGCCAGUGCCCUGACCCAGUAGGAAGGCUCUCAGCUCUGCUAGUGGUGCUAGCCCCGCGACCUCCAUUUGCAGCAGGCAGAGCGCCAGCACCGGACCACGCCGACCCUAGAUCCCCCCCUCGUGGUGUCCAUGACCACGACGCCGCACCCUCUCGAUUCCCCGACGGCCCCGGGCAAGGAGGAGGAGGAGGCGCGCCCGAUGCGCCUGCCGCUGGGGGACGACGACGACGAGGGGCCCAGGAGGGUGCGAAAGCCCUACACCAUCACCAAGUCGCGCGAGAGCUGGACCGAACCCGAGCACGACAAGUUCCUCGAGGCGCUGCAGCUGUUUGAUCGUGAUUGGAAAAAGAUUGAAGCGUAUGUUGGCUCAAAGACAGUAAUACAGAUCAGGAGUCAUGCGCAGAAGUACUUUUUGAAGGUUCAAAAGAAUGGAACAGGCAAACAUUUGCCCCGUCCUAGGCCAAAACGUAAGGCUGCUCAUCCAUAUCCACACAAAGCGUCAAAAAAAGCACUUCAAGUUGUCUUACCGCAACAAGCUUCUCAUAUAAUGGAGCAAGGCUGUGGUACAUCUAUGGAUACAGCUACUGUUGCUAUGGACUUGAGUGCAAAUGAUGCUUUUCCCUCUUGGGAGAAUGAUCCUGUUCAACAUUUAAGUCCGAGGCAUACACAAGAUGCUACAGGUUCGGGUGCAACAAAUAAUUACUCUAGUAGCAUAGGUAGCCAAUCUGGAACUUGGCCAACUUCGGAAGCUACAGAGCAAGACAUUAUGCUUCCAUCACUGCGAGCCAUGCCAGACUUUGCUCGUGUAUACAGCUUCCUUGGAAGCAUAUUUGAUCCAGAGACAAAAGGACAUUUGCAAAAGUUGAAGGAAAUGGAUCCUAUUGAUGCUGAAACGGUAUUGUUGCUGAUGAAAAAUCUUUCAAUCAAUCUAACUAGCCCAAACUUCGAGGAACAUAGGAGGUUGCUUUCUUCACAUGGCUCAAACAUGGACCAAGAUACUGGCUCUUCUCACACCAUUCAUCUUCCCUUCAUGAUAACGAGCAAAUGAGAGAAGGUCCCCUCUGCGAGCACCCGAGGCUUUGGAGUCACUCUGUAGCGUGGCAGCAUGCUGGAUGCUAGCCGCAUGUUGUAGUUUUGCAUGUGUACAUAGCUCUUGUCUUCAUUUUCCAGCACAAGAUCGAAGUCUUCAUUUUUCAGCACAAGAUCGAUGGUGCCACAGAGCGAGCCUGAUGAGUUCACUUGUCACGCUGGACCUUAGCUUGAUGAUCUAUAGGGUCUUUCAUCAUAAUUAGGUAACUGACAAUUAGAAUGGAAAAACAUAUGCCAAGCAUGGUGAAUCAACUACGGCUCAUGAUUGCUCUGUACAUAUCCUACUUAAGCUAUUUUUAUUGAUUGCUACUUCUGAUGAAAUCUCAAACUGAAGUUGCCCCACCAUGAAUAUGUGAUUUGUGCGUACACAGCUCUCUGAUUUUUUUUUAACAAAAAAACUAAUACUAUCUACAAUUAUAGGUGCAACAAUUGUAAGUUUGUUUAACUUUUUCUUACAGUUCCAUUCAACAAAGGUAAAGCAUGGGCGUGGGCAAGCGGCGGAGGCAAGAACGGCGGCGCAAGUGGCGGAGCGCCAGCGUGGUUGAAUAUGCUUUUACUAAUUCUACAUACAAGGGUGAAUAUGCUUUUACUAAUUCUCUGUAGUUUUUGCAAGGUGAUCGGUUUUUUAGACAUCGAAGCUCUUGCUUUGGAAGGUUGUCACCAUCCCAACCUGGAUUUGAGGCUUAACUCCUUGCCCUCAAGUGCAACAAGCUCACCAGCCUAUAUCUCACUUGCACUAUUGGUGAGUGCUGCUGCUUUUCUGAUUUCUUCAGCUGUUCUAAUAGAUUACUGAAAAUCAUUUCUUCUAUUACUGUUAAUUUCAGGCUGUGCUGUUUCUCUUUUUUCCAUAGUUAGGUGAAUAUCUUGGUAUGCAUAGAUUAGUUCUCAUAAUCGCAUGAACAUAAAAAAACUUCAAUUCUUAGGAUGACCAUUCACUCAAUGUAUGGAACCGUAGCAUAUAACUUCUGUCAUUUUGUUUGUCUAUUGGUAGUUUUGGCCAGCCAUCCAGUACUACUAAAUAUAAUAGUAGAUCCAUGAUUUGUGACUCAUAUCCUAUGUGGUACCAAUGUGUUAAAAGUACUGCUCUAUGUUCACAUAUUUGGACUUUCUUUUUGGCUCAAACAUGCUUCAUCACUACCUGUAUGAUAUCAGAGCAGCAUGUUAUCCCCCCUCUCCCUCUUUAUUCUGAUUUGAAUAGAGUUCAAUUCUUGUCCUUAACAUGUGCAGUUUGAGAUAAGCCAAUAACCAUUGGCCUCGAGUGGUGAUCGAAGGAUUUAAUUUGAGAAGCUAUUAUGCUACAACUGCUGUCACUUUAUUUCAUUUCAACAGAAGUUUACACCAGUUUAAGACUGAGCUAUUGUCAGGUAACCAGCAUGUAUGUGGUUUUCAAAAAUUAGUUGAAGCAUGGAAAGGUAUAAUUAUUAAUGAAUUUGGUCCAUGGAAUCACGCACCGAUUUGAUGACCAUACUGGUGAUUUGGCUUUUCCUCUAGCUAGAAAUUACAGAUACUUGGCCAGUGCAAGGAAUAUUAAGACUAAAGUUGCUUGUAGCCAUGAAAAUAGUAUUUUCUAGGUCUAAGUUCUUUCCCUGUUUUUGGUAGCAUGUUUGAAUUACAGAAUUAUGUUCUUUCUGUCGACAUAUACACCUCUGAAAAUCAUAAAUUAGAACAA